GACGAACGCUGGCGGCGUGCCUAAUACAUGCAAGUCGAACGCAGGGGGGACGAGUGCGUAACACGUGGGUAACCUCCCAUCAGAGGGGAUAACACGUGGCAACAGGUGCUAAAACCGCAACUGGUGGAUGGACCCGCGGUGCAUUAGGUAGUUGGUGAGGUAACGGCUCACCAAGGCCACGAUGCAUACCCGACCUGAGAGGUUGACCAGCAAAACUGGGACUGAGACACGGCCCAGACUCCUACGGGAGGCAGCAGUGGGGAAUCUUGGGAAAGGGACGAAAGUCUGACAGAGCAAUGCCGCGUGAGUGAAGAAGGUUUUCGGGUCGUAAAGCUCUGUUGUCAGAGAAGCGGUAUCUACAGAGAAAGCAACGGCUAACUCCGUGCCAGCAGCCGCGGUAAUAC
rnacentral:rRNA from 1 species